rfam:Pichia kudriavzevii strain SD108 scaffold00002, whole genome shotgun sequence.
UCCCUGUUAGCUCAGUCGGUAGAGCGUUCGGCUUUUAAGAAUUCUUUAAGAAGUCGACCGAAAUGUCCAGGGUUCGAGCCCCUGAUAGGGAG